rnacentral:rRNA from 1 species
AUGUGCAUUGCGAAUUCACAAGGAGGUUUGGGAUUCCGAGACCUGGAGAUUUUUAAUGACGCGUUGUUAGCAAAGCAAGCUUGGAGGUUACUUGGGAAUCCAAAUACUCUGUGUGCCAGAGUGCUUAAAGCACGGUAUUUCCCUAAUGAUGGUUUUCUAAUGACGGGUUGUCCCGCUAGUUCUUCUAAGACUUGGAAAGCGAUUAUCCAAGGGAGAGAGAUGUUGAAGACAUGGCUCAUACGGCGAGUUGGCAAUGGAGAGACCACCAAGGUGUGGCAUGAUCAGUGGAUAGAUGGCACCAUAUCAAUGAAACCGAUGGGAGCUCUCAAGCCGAACUCAGUCCAGUUUGUAUCUGAUUUGCUUGACCCAGGGUCAAAUCAGUGGGAUACGGAGCUAGUACAAAGUAUCUUUUUCCCCCUGACGUGGAAGCUAUACUUGCCAUGGCGAGACCACGUGUGGGAGGGGCGGAUGUAUGGGCUUGGGCAAGAGAGAAGUCUGGCCUCUUUACGGUCAGGUCGACAUAUAAACAUGCAAUGCAAACCAAGUUACAGAUGCAAGUGA